UCGCUCUGUCACCCAGGCUGGACUGCAGUGGCGCGAUCUUGGCUCACUGCAACCUCCGCCUCCUGGAUUCAAGCGAUUCUUCUGCCUCAGCCUCCCGAGUAGCUAGGAUUACAGGCAUGUGUCACCACGCCCGGCUAAUUUUGUAUUUUUAGUAGAGACGGGGUUUCUCCGUGUUGGUCAGGCUGGUCUCGAACUCCUGACCUCAGGUGAUCUGCCCGCCUCGGCCUCCCAAAGUGCUGAGAUUACAGACGUGAGCCACCGUGCCUGGCGGAAUUUUCAUAUUUUAAGUCCCCCACCCUUGGACAUUUAGAUUUUUUCCAUCUUUCUGUAUUUGCAGAUAUGCUUCUACGUACACCUUUAUUCAUUUGCUUGAACAUUUCCCUGAGAAAAACUAGAAAUGGAAUUGCCAGAUUACUUUGUGUACAUGUUUCCAAACUGUCCUCCAGAAAGAAUGUAAUGCUUUGAACUUCCACUUGAGAAUCAAAUGUUUACCUUCCUCUGUUCCUCCAGAUUUGGACAUUUACAGUGUUCAGCCGUUGUUGUGGCAUUCCAAUUCAAUUGGGAAACAGCUUGAUGUAGCGUCCCCAUAAGGUCCACAGUAAUUAAAUUUUUUUUUUUUUUUUUUGGUGCGGUAGUGCAAUUUCAUGGCUCACUGCAACCUCCACCUCCCAGGUUCAAGCGAUCCUCCCAUCUCAGCCUCCCUAGUAGCUGGGAUUACAGGUGCACGCCACCACACCAGGCUAAUUUUUGUAUUUUUAGUAGAGAUGGGGUUUCACCAGGUUAGCCAGGCUGGUCUUGAACUCCAGACCUCAAGGGAUCCGCCUGCCUCAGCUUUCCAAAGUGCUGGGAUUACAGGUGGAGACUGGACCUCAGAAGAGGGAGUGGGUGCCCCGAGAACUCACAGCUAGCGGACAGUGGAAAGGGCAGGAGCCGGACCAAGGUGAGGACAGUGGAACUGAAGGCCGCUGGUUACCUCUCCUGCCCUCCGCUGGCCACAGUGGAGAAGACAGCCCCUCCCUCCUGCUCUGACCUGACAGUGUUCAUCCAUCGCCCUGUAUUAGCGAAGAACAACAUCAAGCUGGCUAGCAAGGAACUGUAUACAGGGUCCAGCUGGGUAUCACACUGGAUCUCACCCAAAGCUUAGAUGUGAUCCAGCUCAGUAUCACAAAGCAGAACGAAAAGGAUGUGUUUGGGCUGAGAGGCCAUACAUUGGCUCCGGCAUGACGGGUGACUUCUUCCGAGUCUGGCUUCUGCAGCACACAGGGCUUCGCCAGCACCCAGCUCCUGCAGCAUGGGCAGCUCCUGUGACAGCAGGCGCCCGCAGCCUGCAAAGCGUCUCCAGUGCCGCCGCCUCAGUGAACCUCAACCAGCGGCACCUAGCAGCUUUCUCUGCCACCCUCUUCAGGUCUGGAUCUAAGCCCAGGGACCAGGAAACCUCUUGCUUGAGUGCUGGAACUCAGGCCAGAAGGACAUCCCUGUAGAAGUUCUGCUGCGUGUGGUCCAGCCGUCCCCACUCCUCCCGGGAGAGGUACAAGGCCACAUCCUCGAAAGUCACUGGCAUCUGAAACAAUGUGAAACAUCCACUCUCCAGGACAUGACGUGGACACGGUGGAGGGACACCAUGGCAUGAGAUGUGUGGUGAGACCCCGGACUCCCAACCCACUGUGUCGAGUGAGGCCUGCCACUUCCAUCUGAUCGGGAAGCAGGUGAGCCACCCAAGGCCUUCUGGGGAGUUGAGAAAGAACAAAGACCAAGAGGUAUUUUCAGGGAUCACAGUUAAGACUUAGGAUGUCCAUGCAGCCCCCAGCCUCAGCUGAGACCUCGGAGGACGGUUCCCAACGGCUACCAGCGAGAGGCCCUGUGUCUCUAAUUCCUGCUGCUUCUCCUCCAGCUUUGGCCCAGGCCUGACCAUGGGCCUUGAGCCUGGACAAUUCCAGCAACACUAGCAAGAGCCCCAGGCUUCAGGCUUGGCUGCAAGUGGGGCCAGCGGGGUCCUGGCUUUCACACAGAACCAGCAGAUGCAGGAAGGGCUGAGUACCAUGCAGGGGCCGGGGAAGGGCCACUCACCUGGGACCAGGCAGUGAGGAGCGCUGCAGCCAUCUGCCGGUCUCUGGUCCUCCCCUCUCGGGAAAGCACGGGGAUCCGGGGGGAGGGGAGGGCUGUGGGAGGAGAGAGGUCCUCACGGUGAUCAGCUCAUCCUGCUGGACCUGCUGCUACUUCAGCUGCCUCAAACUCCACCCCUGGCCCGACCCAAGGACAGGGUCGGAUGGCUCUGACGCUGCCAGGGGGCUGUGGGCCAUGGGGGGAUAGCGUCCCCUGCUGGCAUAGAGACCCUCAGCCCCACCUGGACCUGGGCCAAACCUCCACCUCCCCACAGCUGCCUCCCUGGGAAAGCGCCUCUUCCCCGUCCCUCUCCUACCUCCGCCAGGCAGGAAGAGAGCUUUCUCCUUAGAGCCGUGACUUAGGGGUGCCCAGCCCCAGGCACCUUGAGCCCCAUCCUCCUGCGAUGCCCCCUCGGAGUGUGGCUCUUCGGGCUCCAUCUUAAUGUGCAGUGACUCCUGAGUGUCCCCUGAAGGUACCGCCUCCCCCAGCUUAGAAGGCAUUUCCUGAUGAGGAUGUCCACGAUCUGGAACCUAGAAAGGACAGCCCCAUCAGCACCCAGAUGAGUGGGAGAGACACCCAGGGCCACAUGGCAGUGCGCUCCGGCAGCGUCGGAAACCAACAUGCAAGACGCAGCUUGAAGGACUGUCCUUGCUGCAUUCAUCCAGCUCACCCCAGCAAGGACGGGCGGCAAGAGGAGGAAUAUUCACCAAGCCGCCUCCACAGUGCCGGUGGGCGUGGUGCCCAAGGGCAGCUACCCCUUCUCAGCUCCAGCCUCACACUGACCUCAGCAGUGUAGACUGCUGUCUAUUAGUGUAUGAAGAAACCAAGUGUAGUGGCUUGAAUAGUGUCCUCUAAGAAUCCGUGUCCUCCCUGGACCUCAGAAUGGGACCUUAUUGGGGAAAAGGGUCUUUAUACAGGAGAGGACACAGAGACACAGAGAAGGAAGCAGAGACUGGAGGGAUGCCCACACCAAGGACACCAGGAGCCCCCAAGGAGUUGGAAGAGGUAAGGGAGGGUCCUCUUAGUCUAGAGCUUUCAAAAGGAGUGUGACCCUGCUGACACCUAGAUUUUGGACUGCAGGCCUCCAGGACUGUGAGAGAGCCAAUUCUGGUUGUUUUCAGCCCCCCAGAGAGUGGAAACUUGUUACAGCAGCCACGGGAGACUAACACACCAUGGCUGGGGAUGAGACAAUGCCCCGUGACCACAUAGCUCAAAAGCUUUGGGAAAGUCAGGGAGGGCCCUGGUGGGGCCUCAUCCACAGCACAGGAACUGGCCGGACUUCUGCUGGGGUCUCACACUCCUUCCUCCACGCCCUGUCUGUGUUUGGGUCUUGAAGGGAAAGAACCUCAGGCCAGGAAUCAGAGUGCCUGGGUGCCAGACCCAGCGACACCCCUCCCCAAUCAGGCAGCCUUCAGGACGCAGCUGCUCUGCCCCUGCACAGAAUGGUCAUGAGGUUCACGCAGAUAAUGAUGGAGAAGGAGCUGCCAGCUCAGGAAAGUCCUGGAUAAACACAGGGUGGCGCUGGUCAUUAAUCCCCCCCGCCGUGCGCACCAGACAGAAGCCAGUGCCAGCAGAGAAUGCCAACAUGUGGGGCUCUACUGACAUGCCCAAGGUGUUCAAGGCACACGGGAAGUGGAUGGGAAACUGAACCAUGCUAACAAUUCUUUGUGCUUCUAUGGCAUGAAAACCAUAGAUGAUGGCGUCUCAUGCCUAUUAUCCUUAGAGCCUCCCAGUGACCCUGCGAGACAGGUGGAAAUGGCAGGCAUGUGGUCUGCAUUUUACAGAUGACACAUCUGGUUCCCAGAGGCCAGGGACUGGCCCCUGGCCUGUCGCUGACUCAUACUCCUCCAACUCCAAGCCCGGAGACCCAGGUCCCCCACAAAUAGUAAUUACACACACACACUCAACCACGCACGCACACACACACGGGUAGCAGGUACAGGAAGGAGAAAGGACCGGGAGCUCAGACCCACAGAGAUGAGAAGCUGUGGUUCCAGGUGGAGAAGCACGGGGAAGGAGAACAGGUUUCCCUGUGUGCUCUGAGCGCUGCUCAGAAAGAAAACCUCACUGAUAGGACCUCCACCCAGACCUCUUCCAUCUCCUGUGGCCACUGGCUAGAGAAUUCACCAGCAAAGCAAAACUGUUAUGCUGUAAAUUCCAGACAGAGGGUACUACCCAGCAUGCCACCUUCUCUUUGAUCUCCCCACCCCAGUGAGUCUAACUCUUCCAGGGGUCCAGACUCUGUGCCUUGAAAAUCUCCUCCGCACCAGCCUCUUCUACCGCACACCUCCCUCAGCCAGCCCCAUCUGUACCUCCGGGGGUGUCUCCUUGUCCUGGGUGUCCUGGAUGCCUCCGCCGUCUGCAGACAUUUUCUAUUUCAGAGCUAGAAAGAACAGCUGAGUUGUUUCUCCCUCUUUUUGGCCAAGCCCCCUCCAGCUUCUGGCCAGGAGCCUAGAAGAGCAGACAGAAACCAGCCCUCGCUUCCUGGACACCCCCAAAGAGCCCUGAAAAUCCCCACGAGUACCAGCGCUCCCUGGUCCCAAUCGGAAAGAAAGUCUCCCAGAUCCUAUCCGAUGGUCCCACUCUCUGUGAUGUUUUCUGGGUCCUAUUUUUGAAAGAAUGCUAUUUUGUAUUGUCCCCUUUAUUGCUGAAGCAAGAGCCUCGCAUCUCAGUGUAACCGGCUCAGGGAAAGCCGAGGCUAAAUUGGAAUCGCUAUUUCCUGUCAUCAGGAGCAGAAAGUUCUGCAGAGAUCCUGCAGAACAGGUGCUGGUGGGGCCCCGCCCGUCAAGGCCAGGGUAAUCCAGGACCUGCUGUCCCCCGACCCCAGGACAUACACCGUGUGUCCCUACCUGACUCCCAUGCCC
ensembl:lncRNA ZNF213-AS1 ZNF213 antisense RNA 1 (head to head)